rnacentral:lncRNA from 1 species
AGUUGGAUGCUGAAACUUGCAGUCACACAAGGACUUGAACCUAGAGCUUUUCUAAAGCCCGUACUCUUUCCAGUACCCUGAGCCAGGGGAGCCAGCGGGCAGAAAUGACGUGUGAGGUACCCUCUCUCUCUUCACUUCCAUGUGAUCUGUUACUCAUUUUGUCAAGACAUCCUGGGUCCCAGAGACCACUCUUAUUCCCAGGUGUGUGACCUCCUCCUACAGACUACAGUGGGAAAGACACCAUCUCCAGGUGCCAGGUGCUACACAAGAUACUGGCUAUAGCAGCGAACAGGACAGCCCGUCUCAUCCUCAUGGAGGUCACAGGACAAUGAGAAGAAAGACUUUUUUAUUUUUAUUUUUUUGAGACGGAGUUUUGCUCUUGUUGCCGAGGCUGGAGUGCAGUGGUGUGAUCUCGACUCACUGCAACCUCCGCCUCCCAAGUUCAAGCAAUUAUCCUGCCUCAGGCCUCUUGAGUAGCUGGGAUUACAGGCACCUGCCACCACUCCUGGCUAAUUUUUUGUAUUUUUAGUAGAGACAGGGGUUUCAUCAUGUUGGCCAGGCUGGUCUCGAACUCCUGACCUCAGGUGAUCCACCCACCUCGGCCUCCCAAAGUGCAGGGAUUACAGGCAUGAGCCAUCGAACCCGGCCCAAGAAGAAAGACAUUGAACAAGUAAUUACAGGGUAUUGGGUGUUAUGAAAGAAAAGCAUGGUACUGUAUAAUGAGGUCAUCUAAUUUAGUCUGGGGUGACAAGGAAUGCCUACUAAAGAAGGUAUCGUUUAAGACAUACCUGGGGAAUAGCGGUAGUGAAAAUAGAAGCUCCAGAAAUGCAGGGACCAUGGCUGACAUGUUUACCAUGCCAGUGUCUGGCAUGGAAGAGGCCCAAUUCCUUUGGUUGAAAGGAUGAAGUAAUCUAGCUGAAUAAAGGGUGUGUGCGUGCACGCAGGUGUGUUUGUAGUUAACCUUCCUUUAGCUCAGCUUAGGAAACAGCUUUUGUAAAACUGCGUAACUAGUAGUAGGUGAGAGAGGAAUACGAAUGAUAUACACACCAUUAAAGACAACUUACUAACAGCAUGA